rnacentral:lncRNA from 1 species
GGAAGUCAUGGGCUAGUACUUGUUUCUAGGACCCCAGGGUGGAAAUGUCUGGUAGAAAAUCCUAAAAUGUCCAGGGCUGUGGAUUUGGUCCUGUAGCAGGAGACCCUUGUUGGUAAUUUUGCAUCAGGGCUUCCGUCCGACUGUGGUCCCAGCUGGGAGCGCACUGUGAGGCUGAGCAGAGGAGCCUGGUUUGGCGCCACUCACCUGAAUGUCUCAGGAGCCAGGAAAACUGUCCUCCUGUGUGGAGGGUGGUUCUUUUUUUUUUUUUUGGCAGGGGGGGGGUUGCUGUUCUUGUUGUUUUGUCUUGAUACGAUUUUAAAAUAUAACCAAAAAUCUGAUUCAUGACUUCUCUGUGGAAUGAAAACUUUCUGCAUGUGAAGUCUGUUCAUUCUGUGGGUGUUUUCCCAGGUCCCUUAGGUCUGUGCCACUGUUGCCUGCUAGGAAGGUCACAUGAAGGUCUGUCAGGAGGUGGGGAGGGUGGCGUUCUGCUCAGGCUAGAGCAUUUGCCUUGGUGCAGGCCACACACCCUGGUGGGACAGACACCUUGAGUCAGUGUGCUGUUUCCUAAGAUGAAAACAUGGAUUUUGGAAGAAAUUUAGAAGUUCUUUCUCUUGUGCUCUGACAGAAAUUGAUCAUGUUUAGAAUCAGAGUGGGUGGGGGUGAGGCUCAAGGGCCCAGGUUCCAUCCCCAGGGCUACAAAACAGACGGCAGGCCUCUGGAGCACAUGGGCUGUGUGCAGAGCUCCUGCUGUCGCCAGCACCCCGUUCCUUCCCUUGACCACUGUGGAAAGUAAGCAUAGAGGGCUGCGUUGGGGCUCAGGGGUAGAGCAUCACCUGGCAUGCAUGAGGCACUGGGUGUGUGCUGGGAGCCAUUAGCCAAGUAGGUAUGACAAUUUCCUUGCCAGCGUACCCCAUGUUGCUGACAUGUUGCAGUGACAUUAUAUGUAGGUGACCUUGCUCAAGGACCAAGGUAGAUUAGGGUGUUCCCGGUUUUAAGAUAAUCGUGUUUAGGGCGUUCCCAGUUUAGGUUCCAUUGGUAUACUUAAUAACUCGUCUUUAAAAGGCCAUGUGCUACAUUUUUGUAUUGUAUCAACAUAUGCCCUAACUGUUGUUGGUCUUACUGGGGUGCCUCCUUCCUCUAACAAUUUCUCUUCCUCGGAGGUGAACAACUUCAAAUCUUGAGUCAACCAUUUUCCCCAGUUUGCCUGAGAAAGUUCUAAGAACAGGCAGCUCGAAACAAAAACAAAAUAAAUCAAAACAAUAACACAUUGUUUUUUGAAUUGGUCACCCAUUCUUUCGCUCUUCCUCAGGGGCGAGCAAUUUCACUUACCUCCAGGCUUCAGAAGUUCC